ensembl:lncRNA
GAGUAUAUAUAUUUUUACAGUUUAAGACUAAAAGCCACCCACCUCCCUAUGAGAUGCUGCCUGUGCUUCCAGUAGGCUUCAUUUAUAAAAGAAGCUAAAUUUUACCUGUAGAGGACUCUUUUGCACCACAGCAACCCACGCAGAGACCACAGCAUCCCAUACAGAUACCACAGCACCUCAUACAGAUACCACCGCUACCCUAUACAGAUACCACAGCACCGGGAGAAGAUAUGUUUUAGGUGUUUUAUGUGUUUUUAAAUCUUCAAAACCUGGAACUCAUCAUAUUCUCCUACAGGAUUCACAGAUACACAUUAUUUAUCAUCAGAACCAAUCAGUUCUCAGCAUUUAGGAGCUGGACCUCUUUAAUGUCCAGUUUCCUGAGUUUGAACAUCUUCCCUCAGGACGCAGACGCAGACUGUCCACACCGCAGGACAACCUUCCUCCCAGAGCAGUCCAGAUCCUAAACACUGAGAUCUGAUUGGGGGAGAUCCCGAUUUGUCAGAUUUCUUGGACCUUCAUAUUUUGAACCUGAAUGUCCCUGUCUGCCCACGUUCUCCACUCUGAUGUACUGGGGGCAACAGAACUGUGGAGAACAUUUAAACCCACAUUUUCCAGACUGCAGCUGGAGAACAAAGAGCACAAAUCUGAGAGUCUGAUCAGCCGAGAGCAAUCACAACUGUGGGAGUAUCCAGGAGUACUGAAGGUUCUUCAUUAUAUCAGGUAUUUCAGUUUACUAAAUAAAACACGUUAAUAAAUACAGCCACAAACGGCAACUGACAAAAAAAAAUCUAUGUGGGCGGAGAUUCCUAGUCCAAAAUAUAUACAGCUCUGA